GAUGAACGCUAGCUACAGGCUUAACACAUGCAAGUCGAGGGGAAACGACAUCGAAAGCUUGCUUUUGAUGGGCGUCGACCGGCGCACGGGUGAGUAACGCGUAUCCAACCUGCCCAUCACUUGGGAAUAACCUUGCGAAAGUAAGACUAAUACCCAAUGAUAUCCCACGAAGGCAUCGGAAUGGGAUUAAAGAUUUAUCGGUGAUGGAUGGGGAUGCGUCUGAUUAGCUUGUUGGCGGGGUAACGGCCCACCAAGGCAACGAUCAGUAGGGGUUCUGAGAGGAAGGUCCCCCACAUUGGAACUGAGACACGGUCCAAACUCCUACGAGAGGCAGCAGUGAGGAAUAUUGGUCAAUGGGCGAGAGCCUGAACCAGCCAAGUAGCGUGCAGGAAGACGGCCCUAUGGGUUGUAAACUGCUUUUAUAAGGGAAUAAAGUGGGUCACGUGUGACUUUUUGCAUGUACCUUAUGAAUAAGGACCGGCUAAUUCCGUG
rnacentral:rRNA from 1 species